rnacentral:rRNA from 1 species
UGGGGGAUAUUGCACAAUGGGGAAAGACCCUGAUGCAGCGACGCCGCGUGAGUGAAGAAGUAUUUCGGUAUGUAAAGCUCUAUCAGCAGGGAAGAAAAUGACAGUACCUGACCAAGAAGCCCCGGCUAACUACGUGCCAGCAGCCGCGGUAAUACGUAGGGGGCAAGCGUUAUCCGGAUUUACUGGGUGUAAAGGGAGCGUAGACGGUUAUGUAAGUCUGGAGUGAAAGCCCGGGGCCCAACCCCGGGACUGCUUUGGAAAUCUGUGUAACUAGAGUACAGGAGGGCAGGCGAUUCUGUGUAGCGGUGAAAUGCGUAGAUAUCAGGAGGAACACCGGCGGCGAAGGCGGCCUGCUGGACUGAAACUGACGUUGAGGCUCGAAAGCGUGGGGAGCAAACAGGAUUAGAUACCC